CUGCUGCCUCCCGUAGGAGUCUGGUCCGUGUCUCAGUACCAGUGUGGGGGACCUUCCUCUCAGAACCCCCUACGCAUCGUCGGUUAGGUGGGCCGUUACCCCGCCUACUGCCUAAUGCGCCGCAUGCCCAUCCCUGUCCGGCCGAAGCCUUUCCUGCCUCCGGGAUGCCCCGGUGGCAUGUACGCGGGUUUAGCCCCGCCUUUCGGCGGGUUGUCCCCCUGACAGGGGCAGGUUGCAUACGUGUUACUCACCCGUGCGCCGGUCGCCGGCGGAGAAAG
rnacentral:rRNA from 1 species